GACGAACGCUGGCGGCGUGCUUAACACAUGCAAGUCGAACGGAAAGGCCCUGCUUUUGUGGGGUGCUCGAGUGGCGAACGGGUGAGUAACACGUGAGUAACCUGCCCUUGACUUUGGGAUAACUUCAGGAAACUGGGGCGAAUAUCGGAUAGGAGCUCCUGCUGCAUGGUGGGGGUUGGAAAGUUUCGGCGGUGGGGGAUGGACUCGCGGCUUAUCAGCUUGUUGGUGGGGUAGUGGCUUACCAAGGCUUUGACGGGUAGCCGGCCUGAGAGGGUGACCGGCCACAUUGGGCCUGAGAUACGGCCCAGACUCCUACGGGCGGCAGCAGUGGGGAAUCUUGCACAAUGGGCGGAAGCCUGAUGCAGCAACGCCGCGUGCGGGAUGACGGCCUUCGGGUUGUAAACCGCUUUCGCCUGUGACGAAGCGUGAGUGACGGUAAUGGGUCAAGAAGCACCGGCUAACUACGUG
rnacentral:rRNA from 1 species